rnacentral:rRNA from 18 species
GACCUCUAAUCGGAAAAGACUACCCGCUGAGUUUAAGCAUAUCACUAAGCGGAGGAGAAGAAACGAACCAGG